CCUACGGGUGGCACCAGUGGGGAAUAUUGGACAAUGGGGGCAACCCUGAUCCAGCAAUGCCGCGUGUAUGAAGAAGGUCUUCGGAUUGUAAAGUACUUUCGACAGGGACGAUGAUGACGGUACCUGUAGAAGAAGCCCCGGCUAAUUUCGUGCCAGCAGCUGCGGUAAUACGAAGGGGGCUAGCGUUACUCGGAAUGACUGGGCGUAAAGGGCGCGUAGGCGGCUUAUACAGUCAGAUGUGAAAUUCCUGGGCUUAACCUGGGACCUGCAUUUGGUACGUAUAGGCCAGAGUGUGAGAGAGGAUUGUGGAAUUCCAAGUGUAGAGGUGAAAUUCGUAGAUAUUUGGAGGAACACCGGUGGCGAAGGCGGCCCCCUGGACAAAGACUGACGCUCAGAUGCGAAAGCGUGGGGAGCAAACAGGAUUAGAUACCCCAGUAGUC
rnacentral:rRNA from 1 species